rnacentral:rRNA from 1 species
GUCCACGCCGUAAACGAUGGGUACUAGGUGCCUGGGGGAGCGACCCUCUGGGUGCCGGCGCUAACGCAGGAAGUACCCCGCCUGGGGAGUACGACCGCAAGGUUGAAACUCAAAGGAAUUGACGGGGGCCCGCACAAGCGGUGGAGCAUGUGGUUUAAUUCGACGCAACGCGAAGAACCUUACCUAGGCUUGACAUGUACGAGCAAGCUCUCAGAAACGAGAGCCCCUCUUCGGAGAUCGUGCACAGGUGCUGCAUGGCUGUCGU